rnacentral:misc_RNA from 1 species
AACCUAGCACACCUGCGGUGUGUACCUGCGGAGGGAUCAUUACCGAGUGUGGUCCCAUAUAAGGGGCGCCUCCCGUUCUUUGCAGGGCCUUUAGGGGCUUUUUGACUUUGCUUCGGCGGGCUUGCCCCGCCGGAACACCCUCAAGAAAAUCUUUAUGAACCGUUUGUCUGAGUUGCUUGCGAAUAAAAACAAAACUUUCAACAAUGGAUCU